rnacentral:rRNA from 1 species
AUUGAACGCUGGCGGCAGGCCUAACACAUGCAAGUCGAGCGGAUGAAGGGAGCUUGCUCCUGGAUUCAGCGGCGGACGGGUGAGUAAUGCCUAGGAAUCUGCCUGGUAGUGGGGGAUAACGUCCGGAAACGGGCGCUAAUACCGCAUACGUCCUGAGGGAGAAAGUGGGGGAUCUUCGGACCUCACGCUAUCAGAUGAGCCUAGGUCGGAUUAGCUAGUUGGUGGGGUAAAGGCCUACCAAGGCGACGAUCCGUAACUGGUCUGAGAGGAUGAUCAGUCACACUGGAACUGAGACACGGUCCAGACUCCUACGGGAGGCAGGCGUGGGGAAUAUUGGACAAUGGGCGAAAGCCUGAUCCAGCCAUGCCGCGUGUGUGAAGAAGGUCUUCGGAUUGUAAAGCACUUUAAGUUGGGAGGAAGGGCAGUAAGUUAAUACCUUGCUGUUUUGACGUUACCAACAGAAUAAGCACCGGCUAACUUCGUG